rnacentral:rRNA from 1 species
GAUGAACGCUGGCGGCGUGCCUAAUACAUGCAAGUCGAGCGAACAGACGAGGAGCUUGCUCCUUUGACGUUAGCGGCGGACGGGUGAGUAACACGUGGGUAACCUACCUAUAAGACUGGGAUAACUUCGGGAAGCCGGAGCUAAUACCGGAUAAUAUUUCGAACCGCAUGGUUCGAUAGUGAAAGAUGGCUUUGCUAUCACUUAUAGAUGGACCUGCGCCGUAUUAGCUAGUUGGUAAGGUAACGGCUUACCAAGGCAACGAUACGUAGCCGACCUGAGAGGGGGAUCGGCCACACUGGAACUGAGACACGGUCCAGACUCCUACGGGAGGCAGCAGUAGGGAAUCUUCCGCAAUGGGCGAAAGCCUGACGGAGCAACGCCGCGUGAGUGAUGAAGGUCUUCGGAUCGUAAAACUCUGUUAUUAGGGAAGAACAAACGUGUAAGUAACUGUGCACGUCUUGACGGUACCUAAUCAGAAAGCCACGGCUAACUACGUG